rnacentral:lncRNA from 1 species
UUAAAUGCAAAGUCUGCAUUAAUUUAUCUUGUUCUGAAUGGCCCCAUAUUUAUUAGUAAGGUGGAUUUGCAGGUUUUAACUUUUAAACCUCAAAUUCCUGCUUUUAAAUUCCCAUUUAGAAAGCUUCAAAAGAAUGACAAGUCACUUAGUGCAGUUACUAGAAUCAUUUUUGAGGACCCAUAAUCAGCAUCUACUUUGAAUAACAAUUGAAAGAGCUAAGAGGAAUUACUUCAUUCAUCUUCAAACAAGGCUACAUGGAAAGAGCAGAGGAAGACUGAGCAGUUCGUAGUGCACACACGAUACAUACCAAAGUAAGAUUGCAGUAUGCUACAUCUAGCACACUUAUUUAUGGCUCGCUAGCAGAAAACCAAAACACCAUCUAAGCAUAACAGGCUCACAAACUCGGUCUAGUUAUUACAACCAUGCAUGAGUAAAAUCAUGGACGAAUUGGUGCUGGAACACUGCCACCACCUCCAGGAAUGGGAACCUCAUAGCCAGGGUUAGGAACAAAGGUGUCAUCACCACCGGGAACAUAACUGCGUCCUGGUCGACCCGAUCCUGAUCCGGCUCCAGCUCCUGUUCCAGCUCUUCCAGCGCCACCAGUAAAUGGAUUCUGGGGUAUAAGCCCAUGCUUUGGUGGAAAUCCUACUGGUCCAACGCCUGGAAUGUACACUCUGCCAUCAUGCUUGAACAAGAACUCAGGCUCUUUCUUGUCCUGGGUGUUAGAGUUCAUGGCAAUGUUGCUUCGUCCAGCAACUGCGACAAGGAGGAUAUUGGAGAUGAGAAGGAGUGAGAGUAAAAGGGAAACUCUGUGAGCCAUUCUCUCUCAGAUAACAAGUGCAAAGAGGUUAUCAGUGAUGUGUAUUCUGGUAUUCAACAACUUUUGAGUUGAAGAAGCUAGAAGGGGGUGACUGCAUUAUAUAGUUCUAGAUUCUGCAGUAUUGAGUGAACUUUGGCGGUGAGUAAAGUGUUUCUUGAGGAAAUGUCGCUGGCAGGGUCGUGGUUCAUGAAUCAUGAUGCAUGCUAGUAAAUCAUUUGUUCAGCCUCAGUUUAUUAUUACCAUUUGUAGAAGAUAUUCACCAAAGUUGUAUCGGCUACUAAAUGCAGCCUUCACAUGGCUGAUUUAUGCACCGUAAUAUGUAGAAAUCUUGGGAUUGCUUCUACCUACAUUCUAGAUGUUUUAUUACUUUCACUUGCUAGUUGUUACUUGAGCAUUUUUUAAGCUGAAAGAGAAGUGGUAGUUAAUGCACUAUGUAGCGGCACUUUCAACAUGCCCUUUUCACACCGUAAAAUAUUUGUAGGCAUACCCAUUGUGCAGAUAUCCAACAGACAAGAUAUCCAGAGUGAGAAAGAAAGAAUUGAGAGAGAACUAACUAAUGUGAUAUACGAUGGAAUAAAAAGAUAGGAAGAGAAAUGAGAAAUCUGUUGGAUGUCUGUACUGUUUGUAUGUCUGACUAUCAUUCACAAUCCAGUGAAAAAGAACAAUUGUUUUUAAGGAAAACGUUACCAACACUCAUUUUUAACACUUUUUCAUUAAUGAUUGAAAUUAAUAUUGGUCCACUAAAAAUAUUGGUUCCCCAUCCAAUUCACAUAACUCAGAUUCUCUUCUUCAUUUUGCAUCUUCCUUCGUUUCCUGGGCUUGAACCAUCAUGGGCUUGGCCCAUUCACCAUUUAGCUGCCCCUUCCCUUGAACUCCACUAUAUUGGGAGUUCAAUUUUGUAUUUCCCACCACCUUAGAUCAUAUUUUGAAAUUGAAUUUAACGGUGCUCACUAGGGUGGGCACUUUGCAUUUUGGUCCACUGGUGGACUAGGGGAUAUUUUAGACUUUUUCGUUCCUUUCUUUCUCCCUUCCACUCUACCUUCCACACUACCUUGAGUACCAUCCUCAACAGAACAUGAAACGCCCUUUUACUCUGAUGAUUCUGAUUAUUAAGCUGCUUUAAUAUACUGGACAUUGAAAUUGAAAUUUCCAAUUUCCAUUACUUAUUAUUAUUUCUACUCCUCGAUCUCAAAUGAUUUCAAUCUCUGUAAUAUUUGUUUGUGUUAAAUUUCUAUAUAAACUAGAAAACAAAAGGAUCCAUGGAAAUGCAUGUUAGCUCACCCCUAUAUUAUAUCAAUUCUUCAGAUUUUUGUCAAACCCACACCCACACAUACAGAUCUGAAACAAAUGUAGUUUGCUCCUGAUUCUGGAAUUGGAUUGAUCGAUCCUUAUUUAAUUUCCGUUUUUUAACAGUGUUGCUGCUACUCCUCCUUUCAAGACCAGUGUUGAAAAUUGGUUCUGUCAAUCGAACCCAGAUCUGAAGAGUGGCGACACGGUGAACGCGUGGAUCGAGUUCGAUGGGUCCAUUCAGGGGUUGAAUGUUUGGGUCUCGUAUUCCAAUCUGAAACCGAAAGAUCCCAUUUUAUCGAUGAAUCUUGACAUGGGUCCGCUUCAACGCAUGAUAACAUGGAGACUCACCGGGUGGGUGGAGUGGUGGAGCUUCAACUCGUCAUUUGGUGGAACAGGUUUCUCAACAGCGUCGUCGCCGCCGCCGCUCCUUCUCCGGACCCGUCCGAAAAUACAUCGAAUGAGAUUUGGGAGCGGUUGAUGGGGUUGUCACUGCAGGGGCUUUCGUUUUGGCUCUGUUUGCAGGGUCGCUGUUUUGGGUUUAUUCUAAGAAGAUGAUGAAGCAAGUUAACCGUUCUGAUUCUCUUGGAUAACUGGUAUUAUGCAAGGCCAGCAAAGGCACACCCUCAAUGCACUUUCUCUGAACUAGUCACGCAAUACCCAUGACCAAAACAACCAGAAAAAAAGGGUCUUUUUACUUUUUUACCCUUUGAUCAUCCAUCAAAUCCUAGCCAUCUAAAUAAAGAAUAUUCCAAGAUUCUUAAAUCCAACGGUGUUUAAGUUUGGUCCACCGGUGGACCAAAAUGCAAAGUGCCCACCCUAGUGGGCACCGAGUUUAACUCCUACCUUAUCUCUAGAAACCCUAACAUGCGAAUUAUCAAGUGUGAUCUCCUUGUGGCUUCUUCUCACUUUGCUUAUCAAUCUUCUACAUGAUGAUUGUGGUUUAACCAUCCAUCACUCUUUUCUCCUUCCAUCUUUGUAUUUUCUUCUUCCAAAAAUUCAUCUCAUUUUCUAUUUCCUUUCUUUCUUUUCAUUUUUUUCCCACUUUUCUUCUACAUACCAAACAUACUUAUACAUGGUUUGUUUAUAAGGAAAAUGAGUGGAAUCAAAAGGGGAGGAAGAGAUUAUGAAUGGAAAAGUGUGUAUUCCAUGGUUGGGAUAAGUUGAAAAGGGUGGGGGAUGAAUAGAAAUAAUGUUUUGUUCAUAUUUCUUAUCAUCUCCAGCUUCAAUCUACAUUUGACAAUCCGGCAAAAAAUUUCUUGUCCAAAUUUUAAUUUCUAUAUUGGAUACAUUGAAUUGAAGUUUGCAAGUAACACUAAAACAAAACAUACACAAACAUUAUCGUUGUGUUUGCACUAACGCUCAAAAUAAACAACUUUCUUAACAGAGUGUAAGCAAAAUAUAUUAGGAACAAUUUUUUUCUCACUAGAAAACCGAAAAAGUAAAAAACAAAAAUGAGAUGGUCGAAAAGUGUAAGCAUAUAUGAUUGAAGUUGCAGGGCUCACAUCACAAAUAAUAACCGAAUCUCAUCAAUGAAUGUGAUGAGUUGAAGUUCAAGAAGACAGGUCACUCAAGUUGUCGUUGAAUGUUUAUAUCAUCAAAAACUAAUAAUAUAACUUGGAUAAAUUUUUUUUAAAAAAAUUAGUGCAAUUUAUUUAAUAUUCAUUUACAAGUGAAGAGCUUUGAUAUAUAUUUUUUAUCAUAAAUUCUUAUAUAUUAAAUUUUUAUAAUUUAUUCAUUUGUAUUUUAAAUAAUGAACUGAAUAGGGGAAAAGAACUCUUCCAUUUUAGAAUGUUACGGAAAGAACGCCAAAAUAUUUAAUAGUUUUAUUAAAUAAAAUCAAUACAUUUGACAUAAUUGACAUAAUAUAACUAAUAACGUUCCUUUUACGUUAGUCUUUUCCGAUUGGGCCCCCAUGCAGCUUUUUUAUGGCUUAUCAUCAUUUAUCAUGAUUCAGUUUACUUUACAUAAAGCUUUCAAUUAUACAUUUCCUUAAUAAGUAAUUUCCAGUUCAUGAUAAAAUGUUCUAGAUUUAGUUGGAGAUAUAUAUUUCAGUAGUAAUGGCACUCUAUCACCAAACAUUCAAAUUUGUUGGGAUUCAACAUUACCGGUAAAUCGUAUCCUUGCCAUUUUCCAUUUCAAAAAAAAUAAACAUUACCGGUAAGAAGAAGAGAAUGAAUAUUCCAUGAGCAUGGCAUACUAUAUAUAUAUAUAUGUUAAUUGUCAAAUUAUUCUUUGAAUUUAUAAGUGAGUUUGAUUUUAAACCCUCUUAGGAAAAAUGACGUUUAGUAACGGUCAAAAACCGUCAUUAAUUGUAAAAAUGACCACCCCUAAACGUUUUUUUCCUCAUAGAGACUAAACUAAAAUUAAACUCGCUUAUAAAGUCAGGGACUAAUUUGACCAUUAAUCAUAUAUAUAUAUAUGUGUGUGAGAGAGGGGGGGGGAAUCAACUUAGGGUCCGUUUUGAAACGAACCAAAAAGCACUUAUUCGAACUCUGCUCUCUGACAGUGACCAAAACCAAACUGGCUACAAUCGUGGGGAUGGGGACCAAGUUAUUUUCCGGGAAGAGACUAAAAUCAAAUUCUCUUACAAACAAGUGAUUAAUUUAAUGAUUAAACCUUAAUUUAAUUACUAAAAAAAUGAAUUAUUAAUCGCAAAAGUUUAAAAAUAAAAUUAUAUUAUUAUAAAUACAGUAUCCAACACAAACUUAGAAGGACUUUUAGGCUAAUGAAACAAUUUGUUCCUUCUACUUCUUCUGCAUUCAAACUCAAACAAUGGACUUUAGCUUACUUGCUGGAAUACUUUAGUGUUUGCUUGAUUUUCAAUUGAAAACCAUCCCCAAUUUAUGUUUAGCAAAGACAAGAAUUUUCCCUUGAAAAAUGUUGCAUUAUAUCUCAAGAUUACCUUUGCAAGAAUGCAAUCUGAUACAGAUAAACAUCUCAAUGCCUGUUAUCACCGCCUUGCAUUAUGCUGAAACACUUACAUUUUGUGACCUUAACUAAGCAUUAGUUUUCUACAAGUACUUUUAGUAAACAAAAGAGCAUCAAAAUGAUACCACUUCCACAAAAUUCUACUAUCUUGAAAUCACUGUUGCACCAGGUAUUAACAAUAAUCUAUCAUGAAUUUGGCCUUUCCUCAGAAAAUCUAGGAAGUUGAACAAGCGAGUUUACCCGAGUUACCCCCUCCAAACCUGACCAGUUUUGAUCAUCAGCGUAUGAUGUUGCAUCUUCAACAUCGACAGGUACUGCUCCAUUAGUCUCAUCUUCUUCCGAGGAUCUCACUGUGAAGUUCCUCUGCAAACAUGGCUCUGAUUUUUGUCCAUCAUCUGACUCAAUUGGGUUGCCUGAAUGGUUGCUCUGGAUGGUUGCAGAAGAAAAGCCUUGUUCAUCAUAAUCUGAUUCUGAGUCCAUUUUCCCAUCCAGAAAUAAGCACACAACAGCACAGUCAUCCAUCCUUGAAGUUGGAUAUUUAAGUUUCCACUCCCGAGCAGCGGAAUUUACCACUGUUCUAGCUGCUGAUGCUCGCGUUGGGGAUGAAGAUACAAUCUCAACCACCUCCUCAUUGCUUAAAACAUCCCAGACCUGAACAAAGCAUUAAGAGAAUCAAUAUCAUUCAGUGGAAGAUGGAAACUCAAAAGUCGAUAUCCUCUAAGUUACGUCCACUUCCCUUAUACUUGCACAUUCAAAGAACUUACUAUUUUCUUUUCCAUAUUAGAUAUUUCAAUGAAUAGCAUUAUUAUGUAGCGGAAAUGUUUUUCUACGUAGAUUGUAUAUAAACAAAGUUACUUUACAGCUCUUGUGCCUUUCAAAUGAACGAAUUGGUAUAUGACCAACAUUUUUUGCAACACCUUUCACGUAGAAAAUAUUUUCUGCGUAGAUUGUAUAUAAGCCAAGUUAAUUUACAGCUCUACAUGAAAGGUGUUGCAAAAAAUGUAGGUCAUAUAAUGUUCAUGCUAAAACAAACUUAUCCCACGAAUGAAAAGAAGAUAACUCUAUUUGGCAACCCAAAGAGAGGCUCUUUGUUUAUCUUCCGUUCAACUCCUGAAAAAUCAGAUAUCAGCACUUCACUCUUGUACCCCAAAAGAAAAAAAGAUAAGAAUAAUUCAAUAACAGGCCAGAAUGAGAAAGCUUGCAUUAUGAACAGAAUUUAUAUAUUUCUUCAUAUUGAAGAGAGCUUAUUGCUUAAGAAAUACCGCCGUCUGAGUUGUCAGAAUGCCAGCUAAUUUAACUGUAAUGGUGCAGAUUGACAAACAGCCCGAGAAGUUACUGGUUCAGUCAAAUUGCUAAACACUCUAUUUCCACUCAAUGGUUAGUUUCGAAAAGACACUUCUCAGUUUCCUUAUGACCAUAUGGUUCAUGCUAUGCUAGCCUAGAUAUUUGCCUACACUGACCACAUUUUCUUAUUUCAAUAUCACAGCUCGACCUUGUAAGAUGAUUUCUUCAAGGCAGCAACAAAGCCAUAUUAACCAACAGAAACCAACCUUGAAAUUGCAGAUCAUGUAUGCUAAAAUUUCCUAGUCGGACAGGGAUAAAAAUCAUAACACAAUUUCUGAAAUGGCAAAGCAUAAUUAAACAAAGUACUAAAGAAAUUGAUAUGACAUUGAAAAUUCUUAAUCUUACCCCAUCUGAGGCAAUUACAAUGAAUUGAUCUCUGUCUGUAAGUUGCCGGUGAGAAAAUUCUGGUAUGGAAAUCACACCAUACUCCUUCAAGCAGAAAUCUCCAAAUGCUCUAGCCAUUGCUAACCCUGGUGCAUCAUCAAAAGGCAACCACACCCUCGGCACUUCUGGCUCAUCUUGUAAAGCAAAUACCCUACCUUUGCAUCGCUUAAUUCUUUCUGCUUCCCCUAUAAGAGUUUCCAUCCAAGUUGGUGUCAAUAUCAACAGAAAAGCAUAUAUUCAACAGAGAAUAAAUGACGAUGGCAUAAGACAUACUUGGCAAAUCAGGCUUCAAAUCAACAGUCAACUGAACUGCCACCAUGGAGUCAUUGCUGUCCUUGGAUCCCAUGAUUGCUCGAGAAUCCCCGAUACUGGCCAUGAACAGAUUUGAACCCUGUUGAGAUAAGAAAUUAUAAAAACUCAAUGUGUUUGGAUGGGGAUUUAAUUGAGAGAAUAAAUUUGUUGAGGGGAUUUUACAUUGCUUAAUCCAAAAUACAGGAUAUCAAAUCAGAGUAUCUUGAAAAUUAAGGUAAUUUUAUAGGGUAAUUUCCUAACUCAAAAUAAAAGAUUUAAAAUUCCAUCCUUUUUAGAAGGAAUUUUUGAAAAUCCCUUCCCUCAAACUCUCCUCCUUUACCCCUCACCCUCAACCUAUCAAAUAUUCUCCACCAAAUUUCUUAAUUCCUGACAAAAGACUCAAAAAAUGACAAUAAUCAAAAUAAACCAAGUUAUUAUUUUCUUGAAAUUUUGAAUUGUACAUCCAAACACAGUAAAGUUAUGGAAAACAAGAGUUCAGAUCUGCUACCUGCUUUAUUAUAGUCACGGCUGUGCUCCCACUACAGAAGCAGUCUAGAUUUGGAUGAGACCUGAGUUCUUUGUCCAUAGCCUUGUAUGCCUUCAUUAAAGCUUCUCUCCAUGUCGAGUUCAGUUUAUCCUCGGCAGAACAAUCAUUCUCAGACUCUCCACUGUCAGGUUUUAUGUUCCCUUUGAAGCAACCUUUACCCGACCCAUUUCUCUUUGAUUCACCAGAAUGCAAAAAUGAAAGCAGUUUCAAUGGCAAGGUAUCCCUCACUUUGCGUGCAACAAGAUGACCAUGUGGACCAUGGCCAUCAAAGACACCACAAAAGGUCAUAUCUUCAGACAUGAAAUCCUGCAAAGCACAGAUUCAAAUUAGUAUGUUAGUCACUCCUUCAAUCACUCAUGAGCAAUGCUCAUGCAUCACCCGUAAUAAGAUGAACAUACUUACUUCCCACACAAUCAUGGCGUCCUGAUUAAUACCCUUGCGGCCUUGCUGCGUGAAUAUGCAGGACCCGCGGCUCUUUCCAUUAGCGAAAAUUCUGCUGGGUAAGGAGGGUAAAUGGUGUAGAGAAAUAACAUGAUCAGAAAAUGUUCUCCUUGUUGCUCUCUUUUGCCCACAGAAUCCAACUUCCAAGCAAGAUGGAGAGACCCUCUCUCCAUUGCUCCUGCUGCUACAAGUGCUUUUACUACUUGUUGAGACACAACAACCCAUCUGCUACAAAGUUGCUUCUCUUUUCCACUGUAGAUCUAAGUCUGGUCAAUUGAGCUAACAAUCCUAAACUCCAAAUAUUCUCUCAAGCCAAAAUAUAAGCCACUUUACAACUACUCACUGUAGAAAAAUGGGGCCUUUCCUCCACUGUCAAAUGAAGCUAUUUGAAAGGAUAAUGAAACCAGCUGAACACAAGAAAACAGGUGACUAUAUUAGUCAACAUAUGGUCUUCAAAAAUCAAGUCAUUGCAACAAGUAAAAAUAAUAGUAUAAAAAGAGAAAAACUCAGCAAAACAGGUAAAUAGACUAUACUAAAAAUUUGUCUGUAAUUGACAGGGUCAAAUGGAGGCUUUGCAAUAGUUUAAUCCAGAAACUGCUCAUUAAAAACUGAACCAAACAAGGGCACAAAAACAGGACACAAGAAACCUUGUCCUAUUACCAUGUUUCAAACGGGUUUAGACCCAAAGUUUCUGUCUUUCCUUUUUACUAAACAUAGAUAUUAGAUAUCAUCAGGCAGAUAAAAUAAAUAACUAGGCCAAGAAUCUCUAUAUGCACGCUCAACACAAUAAUAUAUUUUACUCAAGUUUACUGCAGAAGAGUUUCUCUCUCUUAAAUUCAAAACAACCCCAAACUAAACAAAAAUAAAAAGCCAUAGAAGAGGAGAAAAGAGGAGGAAACUUUGCAAAAAAAUUGAAAAAUAAACUUUUUGGACUAAUAAAGCAUCAGAAAGAAAGAAUAUUCAACAUAAAGAAGUACUAAAAAUAAAAUAAAAAUUGAUGUACU